GCACAUGGGCCCGCGGGCCGGGCGGGCUCGGGGCGGCCGGGACGAGGAGGGGCGACGACGAGCUGCGAGCAAAGAUGUGCCCCGGGACCCCCGGCACCUUCCAGUGGAUUUCCUUGCGGAAAGGAUGUUGGCGGUCCCUGUGACCUGUGGAGACACGGCCAGAUCUGCCCUCCAGAUUUAUUAGGAGAAAAACCUUCCCGGAAGCUGCAGAAGGACAAAUACAGAAUCCGUGUCUGGGAGAAACCUCGUGGCCUGGUCUCCAUUAUUUGAGAUGAGUUACAUCUUGGAGGCCUGAUCUUUUGGCCAGAAGGAGAUUAAAAAGAUGCCCCUCAAGAUGGCUGUGCCUGUCAGCUGCAUGGAGCUUCGUUCAAGUAUUUUCUGAGCCUGAUGGAUUUACAGUGAUCUUCAGUGGUCUGGGGAAUAACGCUGGUGGAACCAUGCACUGGAAUGACACACGCCCGGCACAUUUCAGGAUACUAAAAGUGGUUUUAAGGGAGGCUGUGGCUGAAUGCCUCAUGGAUUCUUACAGCUUGGAUGUCCAUGGGGGACGAAGGACUGCAGCUGGCUGAGAGGGUUGAGAUCUCUGUUUACUUAGAUCUCUGCCAACUUCCUUUGGGUCUCCCUAUGGAAUGUAAGACCCCGACUCUUCCUGGUGAAGCAUCUGAUGCACGUUCCAUCCGGCGCUCAGCUGGGCUUGAGCUGACCAUACUCCCUGGAGCCUUCUCCCGAGGUGCGCGGGUGACCUUGGCACAUACAGCCAUCAUGAUGGUACUUUAAGUGGAGGCUGAAUCAUCUCCCCUUUGAGCUGCUUGGCACGUGGCUCCCUUGGUGUUCCCCUUUUACUGCCAGGACACUGAGAUUUGGAGAGAAUCCUGUUACACCUGGGAUUUAGGCACUUUCAAUCUGAAAAAAUACAUAUCCUUUCAGCACUCUGGACGGACUUGAGAACUGUCCUUACGUGACCUAAAGCUGGAGUAUUUUGAGAUUGGAGAAUUAAGGCCUUCAGUGGGUUGAAUGAGGCCCAACCCACAUUGAAGAGGACCAUCUGCUUUACUCAGUCUCCUGGUUGAAGUGAUAAUCUCAUCUGGACAUACUCAGAAAUGCUGUUUAACCAGCUCUCUGGAAAUCCUGUGGCCCAGUCAAGUUGACACACAAAAUUAACCAUCACACUGCAGAGACACAGUCUAUCCCAAUACCUGUAUUUACUGGGUAACGUGCAUCUCAGCUCACCAGGCUGGUUUGAUUGACUUGGCCCAAAGCUGCCCUUUGAGUGUUGAGCCCCAGCUGACCCCUUUGAUCCUUCACAGCCCCAUCAUUAAAACAAGGACCCUGAAUCAAGUGACUGUAA
ensembl:lncRNA PVT1 Pvt1 oncogene